UACGUAGGUGGCAAGCGAUACUCGGAAUCACUAGGCGUAAAGCGCAGGUAGGCGGUUUGGUAAGUCUUUUUGUGAAAGCUCCCGGCUUAACUGGGAGAGGUCAAGGGAAACUACCGGACUAGAGUGUGGUAGGGGAUACUGGAAUUCCUGGUGUAGCGGUGAAAUGCGUAGAUAUCAGGAGGAAUACCUAUGGCGAAAGCAGGUAUCUGGGCCAUCACUGACGCUGGAGCUGCGAAAAGCUAGGGGAGCAAACAGG
rnacentral:rRNA from 1 species